rnacentral:rRNA from 1 species
CCUACGGGAGGCAGCAGCUAAGAAUAUUCCGCAAUGGACGAAAGUCUGACGGAGCGACGCCGCGUGGAUGAUGAAGGCCGGAAGGUUGUAAAAUCCUUUUGUCGGGGAAGAAUAAGCAUGGGAGGGAAUGCCCGUGUGAUGACAUGAACCGGCGAAUAAGCCCCGGCUAAC